rnacentral:lncRNA from 1 species
GGAGAACAUCCUCUGGAUGCCAUCCAUUUCAGAUGUGCCUCUGGAAGACAAAACAGAAGAUGAUCAUGAAUGCCUUGGCUGACCACAAAAAUGCAAGCCCUCUGGGGGUGGCAUUUCACACUGUCACAGAGCCCCAUCACUCACCUUCUCAGAAACAUCUGGUUCAAGCCUUGUGUGGUGAAGUGUGGGCUUUCCAUGGAAGUGAAGCAAUGCACAUGUGGUGCCAGUACUGGGGGGACUGAGCAUAAGCCCGAGAGAAGAUUCUUGGAGAAGAAAAUGCAAUUCUAGUCCUGUUGAAAGAGAAGCUGAGGGAUGUGGAAGGAUUCAUCUGGGGCCACCUUCAGAAAGAUGUUUUGUGCCUGGCAGAGGCACUCAACAGAAACACAGAGGAUGCCAUGUUGACUCUCCACAUAUUUCUACA